AAGCAGCUGGAGGACGUGCCUGGGUGGAAGGGGAGGCAGGGCCGGGCGGAGCGGGCGGUGCAGCCCCCGAGGUGCUGGCUGUGGGUGCUGCGAGCAGCCCUGAUACGGACCCUGCAGCCACGUGGCGCUGCCUGCGCCGGGUUCUGCCAACGCUCUUCGCUCUGACCUGAAGGGAUCACUGUGUCUUAGAUACCCUUCCUCAGCUGAGUGGCUCAGGCAGAGCUCCCGAGGGAUGAAUUAGAGAUAGCACGCGUGGAUCGGCUGGAGGAAAAAACUACAUUGAACGCGGCCAGAGAGCUCCUUUUUGGGGAAUAUUUGCAGA